GAUGAACGCUGGCGGCGUGCCUAAUACAUGCAAGUCGAGCGAACGGACGAGAAGCUUACUUCUCUGAUGUUAGCGGCGGACGGGUGAGUAACACGUGGAUAACCUACCUAUAAGACUGGGAUAACUUCGGGAAACCGGAGCUAAUACCGGAUAAUAUUUUGAACCGCAUGGUUCAAAAGUGAAAGACGGUCUUGCUGUCACUUAUAGAUGGAUCCGCGCUGCAUUAGCUAGUUGGUAAGGUAACGGCUUACCAAGGCAACGAUGCACAGCCGACCUGAGAGGGUGAUCGGCCACACUGGAACUGAGACACGGUCCAGACUCCUACGGGAGGCAGCAGUAGGGAAUCUUCCGCAAUGGGCGAAAGCCUGACGGAGCAACGCCGCGUGAGUGAUGAAGGUCUUCGGAUCGUAAAACUCUGUUAUUAGGGAAGAACAUAUGUGUAAGUAACUGUGCACAUCUUGACGGUACCUAAUCAGAAAGCCACGGCUAACUACGUG
rnacentral:rRNA from 1 species